AUUGAACGCUGGCGGCAUGCCUUACACAUGCAAGUCGAACGGCAGCACGGGUGCUUGCACCUGGUGGCGAGUGGCGAACGGGUGAGUAAUACAUCGGAACAUGUCCUGUAGUGGGGGAUAGCCCGGCGAAAGCCGGAUUAAUACCGCAUACGAUCUACGGAUGAAAGCGGGGGACCUUCGGGCCUCGCGCUAUAGGGUUGGCCGAUGGCUGAUUAGCUAGUUGGUGGGGUAAAGGCCUACCAAGGCGACGAUCAGUAGCUGGUCUGAGAGGACGACCAGCCACACUGGGACUGAGACACGGCCCAGACUCCUACGGGAGGCAGCAGUGGGGAAUUUUGGACAAUGGGCGAAAGCCUGAUCCAGCAAUGCCGCGUGUGUGAAGAAGGCCUUCGGGUUGUAAAGCACUUUUGUCCGGAAAGAAAUCCUUGGUUCUAAUAUAGCCGGGGGAUGACGGUACCGGAAGAAUAAGCACCGGCUAACUACGUGCCAGCAGCCGCGGUAAUACGUAGGGUGCGAGCGUUAAUCGGAAUUACUGGGCGUAAAGCGUGCGCAGGCGGUUUGCUAAGACCGAUGUGAAAUCCCCGGGCUCAACCUGGGAACUGCAUUGGUGACUGGCAGGCUAGAGUAUGGCAGAGGGGGGUAGAAUUCCACGUGUAGCAGUGAAAUGCGUAGAGAUGUGGAGGAAUACCGAUGGCGAAGGCAGCCCCCUGGGCCAAUACUGACGCUCAUGCACGAAAGCGUGGGGAGCAAACA
rnacentral:rRNA from 1 species